rnacentral:rRNA from 1 species
CUGGACUAGAAUGUGAGGGAAGAGAGGGUAAUUCCGAUCGUCUGGGAAACCAGACCCAAAACAAGGUGCUGCAUGGCUGUCGUCAGCUCGUGUCGUGAGAUGUUGGGUUAAGUCCCGCAACGAGCGCAACCCUUAUCAACAGUUGCCAUCAUUAAGUUGGGAACUCUGUUGAGACUGCCGUUGAUAAAACGGAGGAAGGUGGGGAUGAUGUCAAGUCAUCAUGGCCUUUAUGUUCAGGGCUACACACGUGCUACAAUGGAUGGUACAAAACGUCGCAAUCUCGUAAGAGGGAGCUAAUCGCAAAAACCAUUCUCAGUUCGGAUUGGAGUCUGCAACUCGACUCCAUGAAGUUGGAAUCGCUAGUAAUCGCAAAUCAGCAUGUUGCGGUGAAUACGUUCCC